rnacentral:rRNA from 1 species
GCAUGCAGUCGUGCGAGAAGUCAAUUAGCUUGCUAAGAGACGGACAGCGGCGAAAGGGAGAGUAACGCGUGGUUACGUACCCAGAGGACCAGGAUAGCGUUGGGAAACCGGCAGUAAUACUGGAUAAUAUCUUUGGAUCAAAUGGUGUGAUUCCGCCUGUGGAUCGGACCGCGUACUAUUAGCUUGUUGGUGGGGUAAUGGCCUACCAAGGCUGCGAUGGUUACCGGGUGUGAGAGCAUGGCCCGGCUCACUGGGACUGAGACACUGCCCAGACACCUACGGGUGGCUGCAGUCGAGAAUCUUCGGCAAUGGACGAAAGUCUGACCGAGCGACGCCGCGUGCGGGAUGAAGGCCUUCGGGUUGUAAACCGCUGUCAGUUGGGAGGAAAGGCCUGUGAAGAGCAGGCCCUGACCGAUCUUCAGAGGAAGGACGGGCUAAGUUCGUGCCAGCAGCCGCGGUAAGACGAACCGUCCAAACGUUAUUCGGUAUCACUGGGCUUAAAGCGUGCGUAGGCGGCCUGGCAGGUGAGAUGUGAAAGCCCACGGCUCAACCGUGGAAUUGCGUUUCAAACCGUCAGGCUUGAGGAAGACAGGGGUGUCGGGAACUUAUGGUGGAGCGGUGAAAUGCGUUGAUAUCAUAGGGAACACCGGUGGCGAAGGCGCGACACUGGGUCUUUACUGACGCUGAGGCACGAAAGCUAGGGUAGCGAACGGGAUUAGAUACCCCGGUAGUCCUAGCCGUAAACGAUGAACACUGGGUUGAGGGGGACUUCCACAUCCUCUCGGCCGUAGCGAAAGCGUUAAGUGUUCCGCCUGGGGAGUAUGGUCGCAAGGCUGAAACUCAAAGGAAUUGACGGGGGCUCACACAAGCGGUGGAGGAUGUGGCUUAAUUCGAGGAUACGCGAAGAACCUUAUCCUAGAUUUGACAUGCUUGAGAGUCUCUAUGAAAGUAGAGAGUGCC